CUGCCAGUAGUCAUAUGCUUCGUUCAAGGGCUAAGCCAUGCAAGUGCCAGAGUACACGGCUUCUGAACAGUGGGUCUGUGAAUGGCUCCUUAGACCAGCAGUCAUCCCUGCGAUGAAGUGAGGUUGGCACAGCACUGCAUAGUGCUCAGUUGGAUAUCCCUGCAAACCGCGAGGCUAAUACACGAUCGCAACAGUCAGCCACAGUCGGCACACCUGCCAAGCAUGAAGCUGCCACAGGUGUGGUGGUGGAUUGCAUCCAGCUGGAUCUCAAGAUCAGCGCCCCUUCAAGGGCAGUGUGCCUUGUGGUUGACUCAGGCUGGUUCCUCAGUGAACAAAUGGCUCUGGCAAGACUCUUCAAGGUGGUCUUGGUAGUUUCUCCUCGUGGGAGCUCCAAGCACCACUGUCUGGCUUGAUCGCACGAACUUCUGAACCAUCAGCUCUUGGAUUGUGGGGUAGUGGCCCACAAUGGCUUCUACGGUUGACAGAGAAUCAGGGUUCGGUUCUGGAGAGGGAGCCUGAGACAUGGCUACCACUACCAAGGUGGGCAGCAGGCGCGCAAAUUGCCCAAUGCAAGUACAGUCUGUGAGGCAGCAACGAACUGCAGCAAUCCCACUGGUCCUCAGGACUGGUGGGACUUGGAAUGGAUGCAAUCCAAACCCAGUGAUGAGUAACCAUUGGAGGGCAAGUCUGGUGCCAGCAGCCGCGGUAAUUCCAGCUCCAAGCGCGUAUGCUAUCAUUGCUGCUGUUAAAACGCUCGUAGUCUGCCACUGGGUUGCAGGUCUGCAGAGGCUGGCCAUGGCUCCCAUUCGGGGCUCUCCCCUUCCCUUUCCCCAAGGGUUGGGGUUCUCCCUGGGUGGUGUGGUUGUGGCUGGAUACAACCUCUGCAGUCAGAUCCUGCACCCACAUUGCAUCUUCCUGUGUGGGGCUGAUCAGCUCCUGCCAAGAGCCUUCUUCACUGAAGGCCACAGCGGUAAUGCCCUUCACUCAGGCUAGUGGCAACUCAGUCGGAUCCAGGCCCCGUGCCCUGGAGCUCCUCCGGGAGCCACAGUCCACUGUGCCCACCACUGGAGCCCACCACAGUUGACACCCUGGCAAACUCAGUGUGCUCAAAGCAUCCCAAUGGGCCUAGCCCACAUCUUUCAAAGCGGCUGCAUGACUCACCAGUGAAUGUCACAGCAUCGACCGAUUGAGGCAUCCUAUCCUUGUGCUGGUCUUGAAGCCCAGUCUUGGGCAAUGUGGUGCAUUGUCUUCCCUUGAGUCUGGCCCAGUUCCUGAAGCGGAUGGUUUGCCGUGGCUCCCGAGUCUCUGCUUCCUCCGUGGAUGGGCUGAAGCCAGGCCAAGGGCUUGCAUGCAUCAAGCGUUUGCAACGGGAUCACUUCAGGGUGAAAGAUACCUUGGCGCCAGAGGUGAAAUUCUUAGAUUGCCACGAGAUCAACAGUGGCAAAGGCGCUUUGCAAGGCUGUGUUCGUCGAUCAAGAACGAGAGUCUGGGGAGCAAAGAUGAUCAGACACCGUCGUAGUCCAGCACUGUAAACUGUGCCAGCUCGGCUCUGGUUGGGACAGACAUCAGUUGACCCAAUCAGGGGCCUGAUCCCCCAUCACGAGAAAUCCAAGCCUUUGGGUUCAGGGGGAAGUAUCGCUGCAAGGCAGAAACUUGAAGGAAUUGGCGGAAUGGCACCACAAGGCGUGGAGCAUGCGGCUUAAUUUGACUCAACGCGGGGAAGCUUACCAGGUCAGGACAGAUCCAGGAUGGACAGAUUGCUAGCUCUUUCUUGAUUGUCUGGACGGUGGUGCAUGGCCGCUCCUGAUUGGUGGAGUGAUUUGUCUGGCUGAUCCCGAUAACGAGUGAGAUCUCUGCCUCCCAGUAGCACUUGUGCUCGCAUCUGUAGGGCUCUGGCCACCAGGAUGGGUCCCUGUUAUAGAGCCGAGCCUCGGUGAGGUUUCUGGCAGUGGCUGAUGCCUUGGUGGUCUCCCGAGAGCCAAGGAAUCCAAGCUUCUCUGAGGUGCUGUGUCCGAUCUUUCAAGGGCUUGCAUGCGAGAGCCAACAGCAGGUCUGUGAUGCUCCCAGAUGUCCUGGGCGGCACGCGUUCUACACUGAUGCAGUGAAGGUGCUUGAGCUCGUAUUCACGAGUCCUGGGUUGAAGAGCCUGGGCAAUCAUGCGAGCCUGCAUCGUGCUUGGGAUAGACGAUUGCAACUGUCUCUCUUGAACGAGGAAUGCCUAGUAUGCCUGGGUCAUCAGCCCAGACAGAUUAAGUCCCUGCCAUUUGUACACACCGCCCGUCGUUGCUACCGAUGAUGGCUUGACAGAACCGUCUGGAGGCUGGUCUCCUCUGUUGGGACCAACAAGCCGAACUCCUGUGAUGUCCAGUCGUUAGAGGAAGCAAAAGUC
rnacentral:rRNA from 1 species